rnacentral:rRNA from 1 species
AUGUGGCUGCCUCCUCCGGACGACCAUAUGAAGAUUAACAUUGAUGCGGCAGUUUCACGCGCUGGCCGUUUUGGGGCAGUGGGAGCAAUAUGUCGUGAUAGCACAGGGGAGUUCAAGGGUGCUUCCACGGUCAUUUUCAGAAACAUCGAAGACCCAGAGGUUCUGGAGGUCCUAGCCAUCAGAGAAGCACAUGCACUAGCUGAUGACUUAUAUGAACAGAGAAUCUUCGUUGCGUCCGGUUGCAGGAUUGUUGUUGAAGCAAUCAAAGGGGGAACGGCGGCGUCUUAUGGAGCGGUGGUACAUGAAAUAAGAGAACGAGUUGGUUUUUUUACUUCUUGCAUUUUCAAUCAUGAAUUCCGGACCUCGAAUUUCGAGGCACACAACCUCGCGAAGCAUGCAUUAAAAUUGGGACCGGCCCGCCAUGUUUGGUUAGGCCACCCCGGUGAUCUUUUGUUCGUCCCUGUAAACAUCGUAACGGUCUAG